rnacentral:rRNA from 1 species
UACAGAGGGUGCAAGCGUUGUUCGGAAUCAUUGGGCGUAAAGGGCGUGUAGGCGGUUUGUCGCGUCUGCUGUGAAACUCGGGGCUUAACCCCGGGCCUGCAGUGGGUACGGGCAGACUAGAGUGCGGUAGGGGAGACUGGAAUUCCUGGUGUAGCGGUGAAAUGCGCAGAUAUCAGGAAGAACACCCGUGGCGAAGGCGGUUCUCUGGGACGGUACUGACGCUGAGGAGCGAAAGCGUGGGGAGCGAACAGG